rnacentral:rRNA from 1 species
UGAGGGGAAUCUUUCCGCAAUGGGACGAAAGUCUGACGGAGCAACGCCGCGUGAGUGAUGAAGGUUUUCGGAUCGUAAAGCUCUGUUGUUAGGGAAGAACAAGUGCGAGAGUAACUGCUCGCACCUUGACGGUACCUAACCAGAAAGCCACGGCUAACUACGUGCCAGCAGCCGCGGUAAUACGUAGGUGGCAAGCGUUGUCCGGAAUUAUUGGGCGUAAAGGGCUCGCAGGCGGUUUCUUAAGUCUGAUGUGAAAGCCCCCGGCUCAACCGGGGAGGGUCAUUGGAAACUGGGAAACUUGAGUGCAGAAGAGGAGAGUGGAAUUCCACGUGUAGCGGUGAAAUGCGUAGAGAUGUGGAGGAACACCAGUGGCGAAGGCGACUCUCUGGUCUGUAACUGA